GCGGUGGCCGGGCGUGCUAUACAUGCAAGUCGAGCGGACCGAUGGGAGCUUGCUCCCUGAUGUUAGCGGCGGACGGGUGAGUAACACGUGGGUAACCUGCCUGUAAGACUGGGAUAACUCCGGGAAACCGGGGCUAAUACCGGAUGCUUGAUUGAACCGCAUGGUUCAAUUAUAAAAGGUGGCUUUUAGCUACCACUUACAGAUGGACCCGCGGCGCAUUAGCUAGUUGGUGAGGUAACGGCUCACCAAGGCAACGAUGCGUAGCCGACCUGAGAGGGUGAUCGGCCACACUGGGACUGAGACACGGCCCAGACUCCUACGGGAGGCAGCAGUAGGGAAUCUUCCGCAAUGGACGAAAGUCUGACGGAGCAACGCCGCGUGAGUGAUGAAGGUUUUCGGAUCGUAAAACUCUGUUGUUAGGGAAGAACAAGUACCGUUCGAAUAGGGCGGUACCUUGACGGUACCUAACCAGAAAGCCACGGCUAACUACGUGCCAGCAGCCGCGGUAAUACGUAGGUGGCAAGCGUUGUCCGGAAUUAUUGGGCGUAAAGCGCGCGCAGGCGGUUUCUUAAGUCUGAUGUGAAAGCCCCCGGCUCAACCGGGGAGGGUCAUUGGAAACUGGGGAACUUGAGUGCAGAAGAGGAGAGUGGAAUUCCACGUGUAGCGGUGAAAUGCGUAGAGAUGUGGAGGAACACCAGUGGCGAAGGCGACUCUCUGGUCUGUAACUGACGCUGAGGCGCGAAAGCGUGGGGAGCGAACAGGAUUAGAUACCCUGGUAGUCCACGCCGUAAACGAUGAGUGCUAAGUGUUAGAGGGUUUCCGCCCUUUAGUGCUGCAGCAACGCAUUAAGCACUCCGCCUGGGGAGUACGGUCGCAAGACUGAAACUCAAAGGAUUGACGGGGGCCCGCACAAGCGGUGGAGCAUGUGGUUUAUUCGAAGCAACGCGAAGAACCUUACCAGGUCUUGACAUCCUCUGACAACCCUAGAGAUAGGGCUUCCCCCUUCGGGGG
rnacentral:rRNA from 1 species